UGAGUAGGACAGGUGAUCGCGGGCUGCCAGCCAGUCCGAGGAAAGUCCGGACUCCAAAGGGAACGGCGCCGGGUAACUCCCGGACGCGCAAGCGUGGAAAGGACCACAGAGACAAACCGCUCUUGACUUACGGUCAAGAGUAAGGGUGAAAAGGUGGUGUAAGAGACCACCGGCAACGCGAGUAAUCGCGCUGUCAGGCAACCCCCGCCGGGAGCAAGGUCAAGCAGAAGGGAACCGUUGGGGCAUAUCCCGUGCCCUCUUCGUCAAGGAGCAACCUUCGGGUAGACCGCUAGAGGCACUAGGUAACUAGCGCCGUAGAUAGAUGAUCACCACCUCCCACGAGGAACAGGAUCCGGCUUAUCGGCCUCCUCAGGCU
rnacentral:RNase_P_RNA from 1 species